AAGAAUCUCAGCUCCAGCUGGGAGGACCCUCAGCGGCUCAGUGGUGGCAUCUACCCUCCCUGUUUAAAGAAGGAAUCUGAGAUGUACUUCUGGACUCACGGGCCUGGGCCCCACCCAGCACAGAUCUCUGCUGAGCAAUCUUGUCUCCACUCUGUUCCUGCCCUUUGCCCAGCCCUGGGCCUCCAAUCUGCAUUGAUUACCUGGUCUGACCUCUCUCACCAUCCCUAGGUACUUAAUAAAUAUUUGCUGUUGAUGAUAGCAAUGACCUUGAGACUGAUGAACAGUCUGGCCAAGAGGAUCCUUGAUGUGGAAGAUAGAAAAAGCCUUUGGGGUCAGGCAGACUUGGAUUCUAAUACCAGCCAGUUCCGCUUGCUGUGUCUGAGCCUCAGUUUACUCAUCUGUGAAGAGGAGGUAGCAAGAAUGAAAAUGCCUGCCUUGUGGUUUGUUGUAAGGACAGACACUGCCAACGUAGAGGGCCCAGAAGCUCACAGACCAGUUGCUCUGAGAGCAGACCACUCUUGCCCUGAUGGUAGGGAACUAUUUUUGUGUGUGGCAAGUGGGACCUUAGGAAGGGAGGCAACUGUGAGGCUUCUGAGAAGGACCCUACACAAGGGAGUUUCCUCCCAGGGCAGGUGAAUGGAGAGGGUGGCAGAAGCCUACGGGAAGGGGUCACAGGGAUCAGCUAGAGAGUGCCACCACCCUUCCUGGGGAAUGCAGGGCAAGGUCCCUGGUGGGAGUUUUCCUGGGAAGCCAAAGAAGCGCCCAACGAAGACAGAAUCAACAUUUGGGUACCUUCAGUACCCAGAGGCAGCAAUGCCAACUACAACCACACUGGAAGAAGAAGACCCUCUCCGCAUAGAUUCUCUGAUCUCUUCCUCCUUCACGGCACCAGCCCUGGGGAACCAGCAUGGUGGGGAAAUAAUGAAGCUGGAAUACAACCACUUACAGACUUCACAACCUCCUCCUGUAGAUACCAAAGGGAUUUUAGGAUCACAUUUUAUUUCUCACCUGAGCAAGAAAAGCUACAGGAGCAUCUCAAGCAGAGGGCAGGAGUCUCCAGAGGAGUUCAAGGGGCUCUGACAAGAAAAAUCAAGGGGCUGUGUUCAAGAACUGGCUCCCUUGGCGAUUAUAUUACAAAGCCCAUGUGUGCUGGACGCUGAUGAAAUUGCUGCCAAAUGCCUGUGUAGCCUUGGCAAGGCCCUUUAUUUCUCUGGGUCUCCGUUUCUCUCUCUCUUUUUUUUUUUUUUUUUUUUUUUUUGAGGCAGAGUCUCACUCUGUCGCCCAGGCUGGAGGGCAGUGGCGUGAUCUCGGCUCACUGCAAGCCCCACCUUCUGAGUUCACGCCAUUCUACUGCCUCAGCCUCCCGAGUAGCUGGGACUACAGGUGCCCACCACCACGCCUGGCUUAUUUUUUGUAUUUUUAGUAGAGAUGGAGUUUCACCAUGUUGGCUAGGCUGGUCUGGAACUCUGGACCUCAAGUGAUCCACCCACCUCGGCCUCCCAAAGUGCUGGGAUUACAGGCAUGAGCCACUGUGCCUGGCCUGGGUCUCCGUUUCUCUAGCUGUGAAAUGACUGUUCUAAAAGAGCCCUGCCGGACUUUGGCAGUCUGUAAGAAGACCUGAGUUCUUCUCUCAGUUCCAAGCAGGAAAAUUGAACGUACCCUGAGCCCAGAGCCUGCAACAAACUCUGAGCAGCCUCAGGAAGUCAGGCAGUGAAGUCCAAAAAAUGAUCUCUUCUGUAUAGGGAGAAAAUAAAAGCUUAAAAAUUUGUAGUUUG
rnacentral:sRNA from 1 species